CUUGCUUUCUUUGCUGGCGACCGGCGCACGGGUGAGUAACACGUAUCCAACCUGCCCUUUACUCGGGGAUAGCCUUUCGAAAGAAAGAUUAAUACCCGAUAGCAUAAUGAUUCCGCAUGGUUUCAUUAUUAAAGGAUUCCGGUAAAGGAUGGGGAUGCGUUCCAUUAGGUUGUUGGUGAGGUAACGGCCCACCAAGCCUUCGAUGGAUAGGGGUUCUGAGGGGAAGGUCCCCCACAUUGGAACUGAGACACGGUCCAA
rnacentral:rRNA from 1 species